AAGUGAAACGGAUUUAUUCGCCUAAAGAAAAGCUCGCGGCUGAUUAGCUAAUUGGUAAGGUAAUGGCUUACCAAGGCGACGAUCAGUAUCUGGUUUGAGAGGAUGAUCAGACACACUGGAACUGAGACACGGUCCAGACUCCUACGGGAGGCAGCAGUGGGGAAUUUUCCGCAAUGGGCGAAAGCCUGACGGAGCAAUACCGCGUGAGGGAAGAAAGCCUACUGGGUUGUAAACCUCUUUUUUCAGGGAGGAAAAAAAUGACGUGUACCUGAAGAAUAAGCAUCGGCUAACUCCGUG
rnacentral:rRNA from 1 species